UAUUACGAGGCACGUUUGUUCCAGCAAAAUGACCAUUUGUUUACAAUAAAUUUCCGUGCCAUUUGUUUUUACAAACCUGAGAUAAAGUAAUACAUUUGAACGCAAAUGGCCGAGGGCUGAAACCUAGCUGUAAACGCAGUUGUGGGUGCUUUCCACUAACUGCAACAGUGCUCUUUUUGUUUUUCUCUCAGUCUGUCCAAAAGCACUCUCACUCAUGUCUUCUCCUUCUUCAAAAGGUGAAACCAAUAAGAUUAAAUCAGACAAAAGGAAAGUUCUGUUAGUGUAUCAUCAAGAUUUUACUCUGCAGAUUGUGACGGGCGCGAGAGGGAGAGAGAGAGGAUAGCGAAUGAGAAUAGAGGGAAGAAGGGUAGCACUAAAGAAGGAGGCAAAGGAGGAAAAGUGGACACUGAGACGCUUAAAGAAGAAGCUCUUUGGAGAAAACGGCGAAGUGUGGGUGGUAAAUGGAAAAAUCUGGUACAACAGGCAUUUCGGAAGGCAAAAUGCCAGCAUUUGCCGCUUCCCACCUUUCCAGGAGACUUCCAGCCAUAAUAGACGGUAAUAGCCCAAGACAAAUCAAACCACUCUUGUAAAAGCAGCACCAAAUAUGGAAACAUAGGAUACGGGCAGAAUGGUGACAGUGACACCUAGAGAGCAUACAGCUGUAUCAGAGCAAGUUGGAGGUCAAGAACGGACAAAGUACCAAGCUGCAACGAGGGAUGCAAAACAUCAUAUUUUAAAAGUGGAAAGGUCAUGGAUAAUCUAUAUACUAUAAAUAAAUAAUACAAUGGCACUCUAUUAUUAAUAGGUAGAUUGGCUGAAGCACUAUUAACAUUGAAUUAAUGAUUAUACUGAUUAAUGAUUUGUGUUUUGAUGUCAAAUUUCAGAGGGGGGAUGGUAAGUGUUUUUUUUUUGGUUAAUUGGAAAGUUGAUUUAGAGUAAGUUAUGUAGUCUUGUGCUGUAAUCACAUCAGUGGCUUCUGACCUGAACUUCAGUGCAAACAGUAAUUCUCCCGUAUAGAGAUUCCUCUACUGUUCUCGUGGAUAAAGUUCCAAGUUUCACGCCAAUAAGUCCGCAUAAGCUGAUAUUCAUGAAAGCUUUCUGCCACAAUAUUGCUCAUAUUGUCAGUCUCUCUGUGAAGCACACGUUUCUAUUACAAACUCCAAGAGAUCCUUUGCUUAGGAGCCCCUGGAAACAUCUGGUUGCUAGGAAAUUGUCCAGCUGAGGCUUAAUUGCUGAUGCUUCAAAAUAAACAAUAAUUUUUGUCCUGAAGAA